rnacentral:piRNA from 1 species
UGAGUGAGUAUCUUUUGGCUCAUCUACACAA